AAUUUCCUGGUGUUUUUUUAUGAUGAAAUCGUCAAUCUAAUAUCUUAAAGUCACAAGCAUUUGUUGCUACAAACAUUACAAUAUAGUGGUAUCUCUACACUCUCAACAGUAAAUUUCGGAUUCACCUUUUGUAAAUACCGAAUUUACUAGCUCAUUGACUUUGCUCAAAUCCAAAUAAAAUUACACCAAUUUGGCCCAACUUUACAGGGCCUCAUUUCAUUAUUGCUUGGCAUGCCAAAGCCCACUAGAUAUGUGGUGACCUGGUUUGGCAACUGCAACUCUGUAUGUUGUACCAAACGUUAUAAUUUUUUAAGUAUACGAGAUACCGCCACUUCGUAUUAUCCCUUCACUUAUAUUAUAACAUAUAUGUUUGAUUUUUAUUAAUAAAAGGGAACACAUAAUUUUAUUUUUCAAAAAACAUAAGUAGAAUAAACAUUGUAGAAUUUGAGUUUAUUUUAGAAGCUGCUCUUUAAGGCUUCAAGCUCCAACAAAAGUUUCCUUAAUGUCAUUUUAUUUACAUACUCGAUCACUGGAGAUGUUUCUUCCCAUGUUCCUCGUAAUGGGAAACAAUGUAGCUCAUUGCCUUAUGUUUGUAUCAUACUUAGGACAUCCGUAUUUAGAUCUCGUAUAAAUACUCAGGGGACUCAAAUGUAAUUAUGUAAUAAAGGAAGGGGCAAAUAUGUAAUAAGUGAGGAGCCCUUAUUCUAUAAAAGGACUCCUCACCCUCACAAUAGGGGGAGGCCAUUUCUUAAGCCUUCUCAUCCCUCUCACAUCCCCUCUCAUAUUCAGAGGUUUUCUCCCUCACCUUUCACAUAAAUACAACAUCAGUGUGGACGUAGCCCAAACCUUGGGGUAAACCACGAUACAUCUUGUGUUAUUUACAUUUCUUGCAGAUUCAUAGUCGGAUUUACGUUGUUCCAAGACCUCCGGUUUUGUGCAUCAACAUUUGGCGCCGUCUGUGGGAAUCGAUACAAAAAGUUGUGUCGAUUCUUUUUCAUUUUUUCACCUCCAUCGUGAAUAUGCAGAAACCCCCACCAAAACACAGCAUAGCUCAGCAGGCUGCUACAAAAUGAGAUUGCCCAAAAUGAUCUCCUCCGUCACCUCCUCCUCGUCCUGCCAGACGACGACGUGUCGCACUCCUCUCCAACCAAUCGUUAAUACCAUCACCAUCACCCAGAGGAAUUUCAUCUCCCUUACCAAAUCAUCAUCAUUUCCCCUCAAACAUUCAAUCUCCAUGAACAAGCAAUAUCUUUCUACCAUUUCUAACUCCAUAUUAGACAACGGAACAUCCCUUGAUCCUCCAAAUCCAGACAAAGAUCGCUCAGAAUUCUGACGUGAGCAACCUUUUUGCCUCGUCGCCUUCGUCUUCUCUGGAAACUACAUCUGGGUUCAGAUUCUCUUCCAGCACCCCAAAAUUGAUCAGGCCGAGCUCGUCUAGCACCGUUAUCUCACUGACCACACCUCGAGAUGCGGCCACCAUGUCCUCUGUUUCGAGGAGCCUCCUUGUCGACAAUCAACGACUGGCAGCAGCCCACGUCAAUUUCAAGCAGAAGAAAGCAGAAGCUUCUGCUUCUUAGAGUAACAAAACGACGCUGCUUGCCUCCGUGUUUCCCAUCACCGAACAAAAUGUCCCAAGAUAUCUACUCUGAGCGCCCCUUGUUCGGUGAUGUCAUCACUAGCACAUUCUUUCUCAGAUUCGAGGAUGUGAGUAACAUUCGACAAGUUCCCGAUCACCAGGAGACUUUUGUGGACCCUACCGGGGAUGAAAGCUUGACCUUUGAGCUUUUGGAAUUGAAGCAUGCAGUCGGCGACAAUGGAAGUGCCAACUGGUUUCUUCAGGACAUUGCCACUGAGCAAGAUGCUGACGGAAGCAUGGUGAUCGAGCAGUCUGGCGUAAUUAAGGCCCCCAGAUUGUGUUAUAGAAACACACAUGCUGUUGUUACGACUAUUGUUGGCCAAAUGGAGGCUCUAGCGCGAGCGCCGAACUGAUGUCGGCUCAGAAGCCGCCGCUGACUGCCGAUAACUGAAAGCGGGAAGGGAGGAGAUUCUCAGACUAAGAAAGCAGCAGCAGCAAUGUGUGUUGGAAUAGGAAGCUUAUGCGAUCCUUUUGGAGCAUAGGGGCUUGCGCAUUUUCUAAAACACAUGCUCUUCAUGGGGAGUACAGAGUUUCCAGAUGAUAAUGCGUAUGAAAAUUACUUGUCCAAGCAUGGAGGUUCAUCAAAUGCAUACACAGAAGCAGAGCAUACCUGGUACCAUUUUGAAGUGAAGCCAGAGUUUCUUAUGGGUGCCUUGAGAAGAUUUUCCCAGUUCUUUGUUUCACCUCUAGUGAAAAUUAAAGCGAUGGAGCGAGAGGUACAUGCUAUAGAUUCAGUUAUGCACAAUACUAACAACACCCUAGUAUUGGGCAAUACCAGCAAAGCCCCAGCGUGGGACAAUGUCAGACAAAUUCAGAUGCUUUUUCAAAAUACCAUAGUGGAUUCUCCCAUGGGAAGUGAUUGGAAAAGCAUUAAAGAGAAGAAGAUAUAUAUAUAUUAUCUCCACUGCAAUUAUCUGCUGCAACUAUGCAAAGCUUGCAUGUGCCCAUAUUCGAACAACAUGCCAUUAUAUGCCGUACAGGCAGGCAGGUGGGACCAACUUGUAUUCAAACAGCAGAAAAAAGAAAAAGGAGGAGGCAUAUAUACCAAAGCUGCUUAUGUCGGUGCAGAUCUUGUCGGCAAGGUUGAAAGAAAUAUUCCUGAGGAUGACCCAAGAAACCCAGCUGUGAUAGCUGAUAAUUGCCUGCGCACUUCCUCAACCAAUACGGAAACGUUGUCUGCCAUUUUCCAAAAGGGAAAAGAGAAAGCAAAAACAAGGAAUAAACACCCCACCAAAAUGAUGUGAUUUACUUUUCUUGUUUUUGUAUGAUGAGAUUUAUUUUUUUUAUUCGGAGACAUCUAUAUAAACCCCAUCAGAAGGUAAUAAUAAAAAUAAAAAUAAAAAUAAAACAAAACAGCAAGCUCAAAAUAAAGGGGCUGAAAUGUUGUGUGGAGAGCGAAGGCCCAUAAGCCCAAAAUAGCACCAACCAGGCUACCAAAAGUACGCCCAGUACUACAAAAAUUAUUCAGCACCCCGUCGCUAUUAUCACCAACCAGGUGAUCAAAAGUAAGCCCAGUACUUCAAAUUAUACAUGAGCAUUACUCAUGUCAAUCAUACAUAAACAUUCAUGAGCAUUACUCAUGUCAAUCAUAAACAUUCAUGAGCAUCACUUAUAUCAAUCAUACAUAAACAUUCAUGAGCAUCACUCAUGUCAACAUCCAUGAGCAUCACUCAUGUCAAUCAACAUAAACAUUCAUGAGCAUUACUCAUGUCAAUCAGCUUCAAAAGCUUCAUUUACAAAAGCUCUAGCUUUAAAAGCUUCAUUUACAGAGCUCUAGCUUCAAAAACUUCAUUUACAAAAGCUCUAGCUUCAAAAGUUUCAUUUACAGAGCUCUAGCUUCAAAAGCUUCAUUUACAAAAGCUCUAGCUUCAAAAGCUUUAUUUAUAGAGCUCUAGCUUCAAAAGUUACAAAAGCUCUAGCUUCAAAAGCUUCAUUUACAGAGCUCUAGCUUCAAAAGCUUCAGUUACAAAAGCUCUAGCUUCAAAAGCUUCAUUUACAGAGCUACAGCUUCAAAGCUUCAUUUACAAAAGCUCUAACUUUAAAAGCCUCAUUUACAGAGCUACAGCUUCAAAAGUUUCAUGUACAAAAGCUCUAGCUUCAAAAGCUUCAUUUACAGAGCUCUAGCUUUAAAAGUUUCACUUGUAAAGCUUCACCUACAAAGCCUCAGUGCAGGGUAUACAAAUACCGAAUCCGAACAACCGCCACUUCGGCCUAUACAUGGAUUCAAUUUGAAGUCUUCAGCCAACAGACUCUAUUGACCGAAGACUUGGAGGACUACAUUAUGUACCUUAUAUAUUGGGCCUCAACUGGGCCUCAUGGAAAAUACUUGGGGGACUCUAGCCCAUCACUUAUGUAUUGAGGAGCGAGCACUUAUUCUAUAAAAUAGACUCCCUCACUUUCAUUAGAGAGCAUCCAUUAGUCAUGUACUGAGGAGCGAGCCCUUAUUCUAUAAAAGGGACUCCCACACCAUCAUUAGAGAGCAUCAACUCUAGCCCAUCAUUCAUGUAUUGAGGAUCGAGCUCUUAUUCUAUAAAAAGGACUCCCUCACCUUCACUGCCACAAGCCGAGCCAACCAAGGCAACAUAAGCCACGAGCCGAGCAGCCUCGCAGCAUGUGCUCUUUCUAGUUGAGCAUCAUUACAGAUCGGGCACCGCCGCAUACCGAGCAUUAGUUCAAGACGACAUCUAGUUACUUCGGCCCACACAUGGACUGAAUUUCAAGUCUUCAGCCAAAAGACUAGUUACUUCGGCCCACAUAUAGACUGAAUUUCAAGUCUCCAGCCAAAAGACUUUCUUGACUGAAGACUUGGGGGACUACUGUUUGUACCAUACAUAAGGCCUCCGUAUUUAGAUCUCGUAUAAAUACUCGGAGGACUCAAAUGUAAUUAUGUAAUAAAGGAGGAGGCAAAUAUGUAAUAAGUGAGGAUCCCUUAUUCUAUAAAAGGACUCCUCACCCUCACAAUAGGGGGAGGCCAUUUCUUAAGCCUUCUUAUCCUCUCACAUCCCCUCUCAUAUUCAGAGGUUAUCUCCCUUACCUCUCAGAUAAAUACAACAUCAGUGUGGACGUAGCCCAAACCUUAGGGUGAACCACGAUACAUCUUGUGUUAUUUACAUUUCUUGCAGAUUCACGGUCGGAUUUAUGUUGUUCCAAGACCUCUGAUUUUGUGCAUCAACACCUUACUAAACUGGCCAUUUACUCUUGUGGAGUUUGUACUUGGUUUAAAGAACCUUCUGAUGUUAACAGUAGCGGAUUUAGAAAUUCUUUCAUGGGUGGUGAAAUAUUAAACAUUAUAAGUUAUUUUAGACAACAAAGCUUUAUUGGAACUUUGAAAUUUGGGGUUUAGGUUGAACGAUACAAGUAUGCAUGAUGUAGUAUUUUUCACUAAGUUGUCAUGUUGGUGGGUGAGUCUUAGCAAUGCUGGCACUAGAAAAAUUGGGAGAGGAAGUUGUGAUGGAGAAAUUUAAGUGACGAAGUGGUUGAAUUUGUGUACACAACAUUGUUCAGGUUUUCUUGUCAAAUUACGACACUAAUUACACAUAACAAUCUCAACGUUUCUUGACAAAAUACAAUUUAGAUAUAACCAUUCUUUUAUAAAUCCUCUUCCAAAUAUCAUCAACAAAGGACAGAUUAUAUUAUAUUCAAUAGAAUAGAGAAGAUAAAUUUCACAUAAAACAAAAAGGAAGGAGAGAAAAUUGCAUUUUUAAUCGAAGUUUAUGUCGAGUCUUUGACUAGGCCUUGGUUGAAGAUGGCUUCCUCUUCAGAAAUUACAAAAGCUACUUGUGAAUAAACCUGAAAAUAUGGCCUCAUCUUCCAUCCCUACACUACAUACUUGUUUUAUGUGGGCAUUCACACCUAUUUCACAACAGCAUUGAAGGUUCAUGUGUUUAAAAGAAAAAGAAGGAAAAAAAAAAAAAGUGACCAAAACGAGCUAUUUUGGUCUAGGUUUUAAAAACCAGAACACGAGGCUUUCUUCUUCCUUGGCUGAAGCAUGCAAUGCUGCCAUGGGCAGCCCCCUUGCCGCCAUGCCUUCCCCAGCUGUUAGGUGGGCAAAAUUCGGGCAGUAGGGAGAAAUUUUGAGGUAUGGGUGGGCAGCUUCCUACCCUUGCCAUACCAUGGAUCCGCCACUGGAUGAGAUGUCAUUAGGCCAUCUCUAACCGAAGGGUCCAAAGGGCCAGAGGGCCAAAAAUAGCCCUAAAACCGUCUCCAACCGAGGGCUAGGCCAGAGGGCUCUGGAAUCUGGGAGGGCCCCACGGGAUCAGAGAGGGCUGGAGGGCUGGCUGCUUUCGGCCAGCCAGCUAGCCCCGGGCUGGCUAUUUUUUUUUUAUAGUUUUGUUAUUCCUGUCGGUUA
rnacentral:lncRNA from 1 species